rnacentral:rRNA from 1 species
AUGGCGGAGCACGCCGCCCGCCACCUCCGCCGCCGCGGCCCCGUCGCCGGCUGGUGCUGCUCCUUCGCCGGCGUCCCGCCCAGCCCCGACCACCGCCUCCACCCCCACCGCACCCUCUCCCACGCCGCCGCGCCGCCAACCGCAGGAUCUGUGUGCACCGGCGGCGAGGGCCCGCGGAAGCAACCACAGCUGCCGCCCAAAUCCCCCUCCUCCUUCCACGGCUCUCCCUCCUCCAAGCUGGCGGGCCUCAUCGACUACCCGCGCCGGAUCCUCUCCCCGGGCCGCGUCUCCCCCAUCGACCCCGACGCCCACCCCCCUCCUCCUCCGACCCCCAACCCCACCGACCAGCCGCAGCACCCGGAGCAGCAGCAGCCGCCGCCGAUGGCCCCGUUCGUCGCGGUGCGGGAGGAGGAGGAGGAGGGGCAGGGGGACGGGCUGGAUCUGAGGCUCUGCCUCCGCGGGAGGGACGGCGCCACCGGCUGCGUCAUGGACCUCGACUCCGCCGUGCUCUGCGGGAGCAGCGCCUUCUUCGCCGCCAUGGCGCCCGAGCCCAACGCCUCUGGUGCCGGGGCCCGGAGGAUCGAGGUCGACGGGGUCGACAACGUCGCCGCCUUCAGGGACGCCGUCGAGCUCAUGUUCCAUGCCGACGCUCCGCGGUGGCUCGCCAGGGCCGGCGUCUCGCGAGCCAUCGCCGUCCUCGAGGUGGCUUCCUCGAUUAUGUUUGACAAAGGAAUCAGAUCAUGUUUGGAGUACAUUGAAGCAGUUCCAUGGAAUGAGAAUGAGGAAGAGAAGCUAAAGCACCUCUUUGCUAGAUGCACUUUCGAUGAAGCGUUAUCAAAAGAUGUAUUGGCAAGAUUGCAAACACAACCGUCUAGCAGCUCGGAAGACCUGACUGGUCAGCUCAUCCAAUCUGUCACCAGCAGCACAAACAACAGUGCAAGAAAAGAUAUGCAGUCUUUGAUCAAUGGUCUUCUAAGCAAGAGCUCAGUAUAUCAAAAGGAUUUGUCUGGAUUAAACAAAAGGAGCCUAUACCAGAUUUGCUGCUCGUGUCUAAACCUACUGGUGGAACUUUUUAAGGAAGACUCGGAGCCAAAAUGCGGCACAGACCAGGCACUGAAAGUUAGGCACAAUAAUAAACCCAUGAUUGAAAGAGUGAGCAAGCAAAGUGAGAACCUCAGCUGGCUAUUUGAGAUCCUGGUCAACAAUGAUAUGGCAGAGAAUUUCGUCGUGCUGUGGGCCGGACAAGACGAUCUCAUCAGGAUGCACGAGCAAGCAUCGCCAAUGUUCAGGUACGAGCUAAGCCGGAUAUCAGCGGGCGUGUUCAUCGCUCUCGGGCAAGGGAAAGUGCAGUGCCCGAGCGAUCUGAGGAGCCAACUGUUCCGGGGAUGGUUCACGCCGAUGUUAACCGAUUUCGGUUGGCUUCAAAGGUGCUCCAAGGGGCUGGAUGCGAGAGCGCUGGAGGAUAGCCUGGGGCAAGCCCUUCUCACCCUCCCGCUCCGGGAGCAGCAGAGCCUGUUCGAGGAAUGGUUCCAGUGCUUCGCGUCUAGUGGCGCGGAAUGCCCGAACCUUAGCCGAGCCUUCCAGGUAUGGUGGCGAAGGUCAUUCGCUAGAUAG